GACGAACGCUGGCGGCGUGCUUAACACAUGCAAGUCGAACGGAAAGGCCCUGCUUUUGUGGGGUGCUCGAGUGGCGAACGGGUGAGUAACACGUGAGUAACCUGCCCUUGACUUUGGGAUAACUUCAGGAAACUGGGUCUAAUACCGGAUAGGAGCUCCUGCUGCAUGGUGGGGGUUGGAAAGUUUCGGCGGUUGGGGAUGGACUCGCGGCUUAUCAGCUUGUUGGUGGGGUAGUGGCUUACCAAGGCUUUGACGGGUAGCCGGCCUGAGAGGGUGACCGGCGACAUUGGGACUGAGAUACGGCCCAGACUCCAACGGGAGGAAGCAGUGGGGAAUAGUGCAAAAUGGGCGGAAGCCUGAUGCAGCAAGGCCGCGUGCGGGAUGACGGCCUUCGGGUUGUAAACAGAUUUCGCAUGUGACGAAGAGUGAGUGACGGUAAUGGGUAAAGAAGCACCGGCUAACUACGUG
rnacentral:rRNA from 1 species